CUGCACACUUUUUCUGUUUGCAGUUUUUCUGCUUCUUUCAGGCGCCAGUUGUCAUUCAUUUUCUAUUUCACCCGAAAUCGCACUCGUAAUCGCCAUUAAAUAAUAAACUCUACAGUUUUUGGCCUUUUGGCUAUCUUGGCCGUAAAAGGCAAUGCCACUGGGGGAGUUCCCCCCAUCGAGUGCUGGGCAAACAACGGUGAUUUUUUCUGUGCCAACUUUUGUUUUUCUCCGGAACUACUGAUAAGAAAACGCCCAGAAACGAACAAGAACGAACAGGAAUUUGUGCUAAGGUCUCUUUACUUUGAUAUUUAUGCAGAAUAUUUGCCUUCGUUGUUAUUAUAAAUUUGUUAUCGUUGAUAUUUUUAGCAGGCGGGCAGUUUAUUUUUAACAUUUGUUGGGUUAUUUUUGGUUUUUUGUGUGUGUGGCUUGGAUGUUAAUGCGACGCAGACGGUAAUGAGAAAGACAAUGUCAAGUGGUGGCUGGCCAUCAGUCAGAGACACAGACGAACGGGUUGAACCCCAGAGCCAGAGCCCAAUGCAAACAUUGUGUGUAGCUGAUAACACCGCUUGCCUCUUAUCUACGAGAAAGUGUGUCUCCAUGGCAGAAUCGUUCUCCUUGAAUUCAUGUUUGCUCCUACCAUAGUUUCGAUUGAUUUCUUCUGAUUCUGAUUAGAUAGAGUUUAAGUACGGGUAUUUCGCCAUGUUUGCUGUUCCAUUUUGUUUGUGCAUUUAUUAAUAGCAAUUCCAGUGGGGCAGUGCAUGUAAUAUCUUUACCCAGAAACAAUAGGAAGUUCGUGAUGUGGGGAGCACUCUGGCCACUCCAUAUGGCCGAGUGUUUUGUUACUUCCUUCCUCAAUAAUACAUUUCAGCAAUGAUAAACAAUUUGCCUUGUUGCCAGGUCCGCUGCUUCACAGUUGUCGCAUGAUUAUGAAAGCUGGAACGUGAUAUGAUAGUCACGCGUUUAUGAUUAUCACGUUUUUUGCGAUAAUUUUUCUGCCUUUUUGGUCUCCAAAAAAACAUAAAAACGGCUAUCGACGCUGGGGAUCUGGUUGGUUUGUGGCUGGAAAAACUGUACCUAAUUAGGUGUACACAUGCUCCAAAUUCUUUAAUAUUGAAACCUCUUGCAGACAGACAAGCCAGACGUCUGCUGACGUAUUAAAUAAUGCUCAAAAAUUGGUUCGCCGCCAAAAUGAAAGAUUUCCCAGCGGAUAAGUCUGCUAUUCCUGUAGGAGUAAGCAACCGCAGCAACAGCAAAAGCAAAUUAAAAUCCGCCCCCAGAACAGAGCACAUGUGAUAUUUCGUAGGUGCCUCGCGUAUUGACGUCACAAAGACUCUUCGCUUUCGUCACUGUUGG
rnacentral:lncRNA from 1 species